AUGUCCAGUAGGCGGCGGGCUGCAGCUACCGUCGCUGCUGAUUGUCAGAGCUCUACUGUCGGUUUAGUGCAGCAGGUUUUUGUGCGACCAGUUAAUCAGUUUGAAUCACUGUGGUGGACUUUCGGUGGGGGGACCAGACUGGAUGUCGGCAGUAACCGCCUCCCCACCCUCACGGUCCUGCCCCCCUCCGGCGUGGAGGUGAAGCAGGGAAAGGCCACGCUCCUGUGCCUGGCCAACAAGGGCUUCCCGUCAGACUGGACGCUGCGCUGGGAAGUGGACGGUAGAAGCAAGAGCUCGGGCGUGGCCGGGAGUGCCGGGGUCCUGGAGAAGGACGGCCUGUACAGCUGGAGCAGCUCCCUGACUCUCAGUGCGGACGAGUGGGCGAAGGCGGGGUCUCUGACCUGCAAGGCCACUCAGGGCUCCCAGUCUCCGGUCACUCAGACGCUGAGGAGAGCCGACUGUUCUGAGUAGGCCUGGUGGAGGCCCAGCUCUCACUCUCUGAUUCCACUGUUCUUACCCUGGUCUGCACUCAGCCUCUCUCCUGCUUACUGCUACACUGCUGUGUCACUGGCCUGGUGCUUCACCUCACCCUGUGUGUUAAUCCAUCCACCAGC